GGAGCUUGGGGUAGAGCCGCUGCUCCUUCGCAUUGAAAGGAGCCAGCUGAGGUUGUUCAGGCAUCUGGUAAGGAUGCCCCAUGAGUGCCUCCCUAGGGAGGUGUUUCAGGCAUGACCAUCUUGGAGGAGACCCAGAGGAAGAUUCAGGAUUAGGUGGAGAGAUUAUAUCUCCACAUGGGCCUGGGAACGCCUCAGAAUCCCCCAGUCAGAGCAGAACAGGAAAAUCA